UAAAGAAUCAAGGGUGUACGGUGGAUGCCUUGGUAUCAGGAAGCGAUGAAGGGCGUGGUUAGCUGCGAUAAGCCUCGGGGAGCCGCCAGCAGGUUGUGAUCCGAGGAUGCCCGAAUGGGGAAACCCGCCAGAGGGAAUGCUCUGGCAUUGGCAACUGAAUAUAUAGGUUGUCAAAGCGAACUCAGGGAAGUGAAACAUCUCAGUACCUGAAGGAAGAGAAAGCAAUUGCGAUUCCCGUAGUAGCGGCGAGCGAACUGGGAUCAGCCCAAACCAUGUGUAUGUGAUAGCCCUUACGCGUUGUACAUGUGGGGUUGUAGGCGUUUUCCAGGCGAUGGUAAGGCAUUGCCGAAGAGUCACAAACUAAACACGUAGUUGAACGAUUUGGAAUCAUCGGCCAAAGAAGGUGAAAGCCCUGUAAAUAAAACGUGUUUAGCUCUUUGGGAAAAUGUCCUGAGUACCACGGGACACGAGAAACCCUGUGGGAAUCUGGGAGGACCACCUUCCAAGGCUAAAUAUUCCCUGAUGACCGAUAGUGAACAAGUACCGUGAGGGAAAGGUGAAAAGAACCCCGGUGAGGGGAGUGAAAUAGAACCUGAAACCGUACACCUACAAGCUGCAGGAGGGCAAUACUUCGGUUACCGAAGGAGGCCUGACUGUGUGCCUUUUGUUUAAUGAGCCGGCGAGUUAUAUGGAGCAGCAAGGUUAAAUCGACGAGAUGGAGCCGCAGCGAAAGCGAGUCUUAAAUGGGCGACAAGUUGCUUUAUAUAGACCCGAAGCGAGGUGAUCUACUCAUGGCCAGGCUGAAAUUUCGUUAACCCGAAAUGGAGGGCCGAACCGAUGUCUGUUGCAAAAGGCUCGGAUGAGCUGUGAGUGGGAGUGAAAGGCUAAUCAAACCUCGUGAUAGCUGGUUCUCCCCGAAAUAGCUUGAGGGCUAGCCUCUUCUGAACCGUGACGGAGGUAGAGCACUGGAUGGGCUAGGGGCGUUAGCGCGCUACUGAACCCAACCAAACUCCGAAUGCCGUUACUGGAUAGAAGGGAGUCAGACUACGGGCGCUAAGGUCCGUGGUCGAGAGGAAAACAGUCCAGACCGUCAGCUAAGGUCCCUAAGAAUAGGUUAAGUGGAGAAGGUUGUAGAAUUGCACUAACAGCCAGGAAGUUGGCUUAGAAGCAGCCAUCCUUUAAAGAAAGCGUAAUAGCUCACUGGUCAAGCGAUUCCGCGCCGAAAAUUCAACGGGGCUCAAAUCUAUCACCGAAGCUACGGACUUUUAUUCGAUCUUUGAUUGAAUGAAAUUGGUAGGGGAGCAUUCUCUAAAAGGUGAAGGUUAAUCGACAAGAAUAGCUGGAUUUUAGAGAAGUGAUGAUGCCGGCAUAAGUAGCGAUAAAAGACGUGAGAAUCGUCUUCGCCGAAAACCUAAGGUUUCCUGGGCUAUGUUCGUCAUCUCAGGGUUAGUCGGUCCCUAAGCCGAGACCGAAAGGUGUAGGUAAUGGGAAACAGGUCAAUAUUCCUGUACCACCAGGGUUGCGUUAACAGUGAAGGGGGGACGCAGAAGGGAAGGCACCGCCGGGUGUUGGAUAUCCCGGUCCAAGCCUGUAGGAGGAGUGUCUAGGCAAAUCCGGACACUCAGUACUCCGAGGGGUUAUGGGGAGGCCGUCAGGCCAUAAACGGGCCGUACCACGCUGCCAAGAAAAGCCUCGUAGCGAGUAACCAGGGUGACCGUACCGCAAACCGACACAGGUAGGUAGGUAGAGUAUACUAAGGCGCGUGAGAGAAUACUCGCUAAGGAACUCUGCAAAUUAGCCCCGUAACUUCGGAAGAAGGGGUGCCUCCAUUAGGUGACGGGUCUCGCAUCCGAAGCCGAAGGAGGUCGCAGUAAAGUGGCUCUGGCGACUGUUUAUCAAAAACACAGGACUCUGCAAAGUCGUAAGACGACGUAUAGGGUCUGAUGCCUGCCCGGUGCUGGAAGGUUAACAGGAGAGGUUAGCCGCAAGGCGAAGCUUUGAAUCGAAGCCCCAGUAAACGGCGGCCGUAACUAUAACGGUCCUAAGGUAGCGAAAUUCCUUGUCGGGUAAGUUCCGACCUGCAUGAAUGGCAUAACGACUGGAGCGCUGUCUCAGCGAGUAACUCAGCGAACUUGAAGACCCGGUGAAGAUGCCGGGUACCCGCGACUAGACGGAAAGACCCCGUGCACCUUUACUACAGCUUGGCAUUGAGUUGUGGGCAGGUAUGUGUAGGAUAGGUGGGAGACUGUGAAGCUGUGGCGCUAGCUGCGGUGGAGUCAAUCUUGAAAUACCACCCUUGCAUGUCUGCUAUUCUAACCUAGCUCCAUCAUCUGGAGCAGGAACAGUGCCUGGUGGGUAGUUUGACUGGGGCGGUCGCCUCCCAAAAUGUAACGGAGGCGCCCAAAGGUUUCCUCAGGCUGGUCGGCAAUCAGCCGUAGAGUGUAAAGGCAAAAGGGAGCUUCACUGCAAGACUGACAGGUCGAGCAGGGACGAAAGUCGGGCUUAGUGAUCCGGUGGUUCUGUGUGGAAGGGCCAUCGCUCAUCGGAUAAAAGGUACGCCGGGGAUAACAGGCUGAUCUCCCCCAAGAGUUCAUAUCGACGGGGAGGUUUGGCACCUCGAUGUCGGCUCAUCGCAUCCUGGGGCUGAAGCCGGUCCCAAGGGUUUGGCUGUUCGCCAAUUAAAGCGGUACGCGAGCUGGGUUCAGAACGUCGUGAGACAGUUCGGUCCCUAUCUGUCGUGGGCGUUGGAGAUUUGAGAGGUGCCGUCCCUAGUACGAGAGGACUGGGAUGGACAGACCUCUGGUGUGCCGGUUGUCGCGCCAGCGGCAGCGCCGGGUAGCUACGUCUGGUUCGGAUAACCGCUGAAAGCAUCUAAGCGGGAAGCCGUCCUCAAGAUAAGAUCUCCCGGAGGGUUUAACCCUCCCUCAAGGCCUCUGGUAGACCACCAGUUUGAUAGGCUGGAGGUGGAAGGGUCGUAAGAUCUGAAGCUAACCAGUACUAAUCGGCCGUGCGUUUUAGAUUC
rnacentral:rRNA from 1 species